UACGGGGGGGGCAAGCGUUGUUCGGAAUUACUGGGCGUAAGGGCGCGUAGGCGGCCUGCUAAGUCGGAUGUGAAAUCCCUCGGCUCAACCGAGGAACUGCAUCCGAUACUGGCGGGCUUGAAUCCGGGAGAGGGAUGUGGAAUUCCAGGUGUAGCGGUGAAAUGCGUAGAUAUCUGGAGGAAUACCGGUGGCGAAGGCGGCAUCCUGGACCGGCAUUGACGCUGAGGAGCGAAAGCCAGGGGAGCAAACGGG
rnacentral:rRNA from 1 species